UACGGAGGGAGCUAGCGUUGUUCGGAAUUACUGGGCGUAAAGCGCGCGUAGGCGGCUUUGUAAGUUAGAGGUGAAAGCCCGGGGCUCAACCCCGGAACUGCCUUUAAGACUGCAUCGCUUGAAUCCGGGAGAGGUGAGUGGAAUUCCGAGUGUAGAGGUGAAAUUCGUAGAUAUUCGGAAGAACACCAGUGGCGAAGGCGGCUCACUGGACCGGUAUUGACGCUGAUGUGCGAAAGCGUGGGGAGCAGACAGG
rnacentral:rRNA from 1 species